rnacentral:lncRNA from 1 species
AUUUUCCACAGGUGUGGGCCCCAUUAGCUCUGGCCACCUGAGAAAGCCCUCAGGCAAAGAGUCGCAGGUGAAAGCCAGCAGUUAGAGGUUCACAGAAAUGAGUGCAGAAGCAUCUUCAGUUGGAGAGCCAUUGCCUCUUGCUGUGAAAUAUUUGGGAAUCUUCAGAAACCAUGAAGAAUAACCUGCUAAAGGCCACCAAGUUCUAUUGAACAUCAUGAAUCCUAUGCUCAAGUGAGAUCAGCUCAAGUGAGACCAGAUAUCUGAAGACCUUUUCAUUUUCGCCACCCUCAAAUGAAGGCAUGCAAGCUUAUGUUGACACAUCGUUCUAGGAAGAAAACAGAACAUUUCUGCUCAUCAGUGUUUUGCAGUAGGAGAUAAAAACUAUCAUGUGGAAGAUGCCCUCCCUGUGCCAAGAGAAAAGAAACAUUCUUCCAUGAAGACUCAUAGCCGAGAUAAUUCCGUAUAAACAGACCUUGUUAAAAGAAUUAUCUCCCUUUGGCCUCCCCACAAAAUUUAGAUACUUUUCCACAAUUGCCUCUUUACAAAAUCAUGUAAGCCUUGCUUUUUUUUUUAUCUUCAUUUUCUCAUGAGGGCUCCUGUGUCAUGUAAAAUAUGUUAAAUUUAUACGCUUUUCUCUUGUUAAUUUAUCUUACGUCAAUUUAAUUCUCAAGCCCAGCAGAGACCCUAGAAGGGCAGAGGUAAAUUUUUGCCUGCACUACACUAUUGAUCCCAAAACACACACACAGAGAGAGAGAGAGAGAAAGAGAGAGAGAGAAACUCUCUUCCUAUUCUGUGCCAGUGAAAUUCUGCCAUCAGCAAAUAUAUCUUUUCUGACUUUGAAAAUACUGAUGACAGUGGAGAUUAAAAUCCUACCAAGGCUGCUGCAGAAUCAAUGACACAUGAGGUGGCCAGGCAUGGUGGCUCACGACUGUAAUCCCAGCACUUUGGGAGGCCAAGGUGGGUGGAUCCCCUGAAGCCAAGAGUUCAAGACCAGCCAGGCUAACAUGGUGAAACUCCAUCUCUACUAAAAAUACAAAAAAUUAGCCGGGUGUGGUGGCACAUGCCUGUAAUCCCAGCUACUCAGGAGGCAGAGAGAGGAGAAUUGCCUGAGCCCAGAAGGUGGAGGUUGCAGUGAGCCGAGAUCAUGCCACUGCACUCCAGCCUGGGUAACAGAGUGAGACUCCGUCUCAAAAAAAAAAACAAAAAACAAAAAACAAAAAAAAAACACAUGAAGCUUUACCAGAAGAUUUCAGUAUGUCCUCCAGUGCGUAAUUCAUUUGUUCAACAAUUUUUACUGGGCAGGCAUUCUAAUAGAUGUUGAGGAUAUCACAAUAAAUAAGGCAAACAAAAUCUCUACCCUAUGGUAGAGAUUUUGAAAUAUCAAAUUAUUAAGUUUUAGGAAAAUUCAAUGACAAAAAGAAAGUCUUAUAAUAUUACCAUGUCCAGAUAAUGUAAGUAUUUACACAUUACUAUUUCAAUUUCAUUCAAUUUUUUUCUAAACUUUUAUUUUUUCAAACAUGUAAUCAUAAUAUAUUAGUGCUAAGUAUUAAAACAAUUUCUUAAUUCCCAUGUAAAUUUAAGGGUAUUUAAGCUUUUUUUUUUUUUUUUUUGAGACGGAGUUACACUCUUGUUGCUCAGGCUGGAGCUCAAUGGCGCGAUCUCAGCUCACCGCAACCUCCGCCUCAUGAGGUUCAAGCAAUUCUCCUGCCUCAGCCACCCCAAGUAGCUAGAAUUACAGGCAUGCGCCACCACGCACGUGGAAUCAGUUGUAUUGUUUCAAUACAACUUUUGGAAAUAAAAGUAUGGCAAAUUCUCACUCUCUUCCUUAGGUAAGCACCAAACUUUAAAAACAAAAGGCACUCACUAUAAGUGUGCUGUAGUGUUAUAAUGGCUAUGAGGUCAUUAAGAGAUAGGAAUUUUUCAGCCCGUUAUAAUCUUAGGGGACUAUUGUAUACGCAGUCUAUCAUUGACUAAAAUAUUAUUAGGCAGUAUAUGACUGUACUUUUGUUUAAGAUCUUAUGACAAAUCCAAAUAAAAA